rnacentral:rRNA from 1 species
CCUACGGGGGGCUGCAGUGGGGAAUAUUGGACAAUGGGGGGAACCCUGAUCCAGCCAUGCCGCGUGUGUGAAGAAGGCCCUCGGGUCGUAAAGCACUUUCAGUGAGGAAGAACGCCUGGUGGUUAAUACCCAUCAGGAAAGACAUCACUCACAGCAGAAGCACCGGCUAACUCCGUGCCAGCAGCCGCGGUAAUACGGAGGGUGCGAGCGUUAAUCGGAAUUACUGGGCGUAAAGCGCGCGUAGGUGGCUUGAUAAGCCGGUUGUGAAAGCCCCGGGCUCAACCUGGGAACGGCAUCCGGAACUGUCAAGCUAGAGUGCAGGAGAGGAAGGUAGAAUUCCCGGUGUAGCGGUGAAAUGCGUAGAGAUCGGGAGGAAUACCAGUGGCGAAGGCGGCCUUCUGGACUGACACUGACACUGAGGUGCGAAAGCGUGGGUAGCAAACAGGAUUAGAUACCCUAGUAGUC